ensembl:lncRNA
GCUAAGGUUAGGGUUAGGGUUAGUGUUAGGGUUAGUGCUAGGGUUAGGUUUAGAAUAAGGGUUAGGAUAAGGGCUAAGGUUAGGGUUAGGGUUAGUGCUAGGGUUAGGUUUAGAAUAAGGGUUAGGAUAAGGGCUAAGGUUAGGGUUAGUGCUAGGGUUAGUGCUAGGGUUAGGUUUAGAAUAAGGGUUAGGAUAAGGGCUAAGGUUAGGGUUAGGGUUAGUGUUAGGGUUAGUGCUAGGGUUAGGUUUAGAAUAAGGGUUAGGAUAAGGGCUAAGGUUAGGGUUAGGGUUAGUGCUAGGGUUAGGUUUAGAAUAAGGGUUAGGAUAAGGGCUAAGGUUAGGGUUAGUGCUAGGGUUAGUGCUAGGGUUAGGUUUAGAAUAAGGGUUAGGAUAAGGGCUAAGGUUAGGGUUAGGGUUAGUGUUAGGGUUAGUGCUAGGGUUAGGUUUAGAAUAAGGGUUAGGAUAAGGGCUAAGG